AUUGAACGCUGGCGGCAGGCCUAACACAUGCAAGUCGAACGAGUGGCGCACGGGUGAGUAAUGUCGGGGACACUGCCUGAUGGAGGGGGAUAACCACUGGAAACGGUAGCUAAUACCGCAUACCAUCAGAUGUGCCCAGAUGGGAUUAGCUAGUUGGUGGGGUAACGGCUCACCAAGGCGACUACCCCUCGCUGGUCUGAGAGGAUGACCAGCCACACUGGAACUGAGACACGGUCCAGACUCCUACGGGAGGCAGCAGUGGGGAAUAUUGCACAAUGGGCGCAAGCCUGAUGCAGCCAUGCCGCGUGUAUGAAGAAGGCCUGCGGGUUGUAAAGUACUUUCAGCGGGGAGGCGUUACCCGCAGAAGAAGCACCGGCUAACUCCGUGCCAGCAGCCGCGGUAAUAC
rnacentral:rRNA from 1 species